UGGCAUUUUCUUAAACCACUUAUUGCCACCUGGCAUCUUAUCGCUCCUUCUUGAAUCAAUAUGAGCGGCAAAACCACACACCUCCGCUCUUUUUCCUUCUCCGUUCCAAACCCUAAAUGCCACACAUUCUUUCUUCCUCUCCUCUUUACACUGUUGCUGCUUCUUCUACAUUCCUUUUUUUCGCCAAUGUCUUUCAUCGGUCUCACACUCAGAAUGAAAUUCCUUCUCCUUCGAUCUCCUUUCCUAUUUCACUAUAAACUAACCCUAUAAAUCUUUCAAGCAACACAACAUUCUCCGCCUUCGAUCUCUAAUCACAUCGAUGGAAAUUUUUAUCCUCAGGUAACCUUACAUGGCGAGUUGAAUCAAGUAAGCAACAGAAACCCUAAAUUGGAACCAGGUGAACUCUCAUCCAGUCAACCUUCAUUGAUGAACUGCCGAAGUAGAGAGACUGCAUUUCGUCUUGGGGUGCACACAAAUGGGGUAAAUGUAUAAUUUUUAUGCCAAGAAAGCACGAUAUCGAUCGGUUGGCAUAACGCGAUAUAUGUCAAGACCAGCGGGAGAAAAUGCUAUUGAGCUUUAGAGACUGUCGUUUCAAUGUUUUAGUAGCCACGGAUAUUUCUACUCACCGGACUUGAUGUUCCAAAUGUUGAUAUGGUCUGUCUUCUUCUUUUAUUAGGUGUGGUCGUACAAGCCAGGCUAGGCUGGAAAGAAAGGAAGACCGUUUUAAUUCAUUCAUCUCACCAAUCGUCUGAAGUGAAGGGAUCCAAGCGCAAAGUAGGAUGCAAAUUUUUGAAGGUAGCAUGAGAAACUUAUUAAUGUCACAUGUUCUGUGGUGUAUAUUCACUAUUAAGCUCCCUAAUAUCAUUGUUAAUGCUGAUUAAAGAAUUAACCUUUGUGGUUACCUGAAGACGUAUAAAUGGUUAUACCUGGAGACAAUGUGACUGCUGAUUUGUUACUUAUUACCCCAGUUGUUCAUGAACGAGGUGCAUUUUCAGAAAAAAAAAAAAAAAAAAAAACUAAAUUCUCAUUUUAUAAAUGCACAAGGAAGACCGAUACAAUUAUAAUUCAUACUAGAGGUGUAAAUAUGGGUGGUCUAGGCGGUUAAGUUAUUUACAGAAGCUAUCAAAUAUAUUUACAUAAGUUGUGUUACGUCAAAUAAGUUCACUCUCUGGUGUGGUUUAUUGUAAUAAUGAGUGUCACUUGACUCACUUCAUUUGGUGUGGUAAUACUGACCCAUGUCCCAAGGAAUGGAUUGAGUUAUAUUCAUCUAUUUUGCGAAAGCAACGGAAGAUGGGCCACAUAACUGUUGUCGAGCCUUCAUUGGGAAUUGUUGAAGUGCAGGUUAAAUCAUUUCUCGAAGAAGAAAGUUCAGAGGAGACUCCAGGUUUAUUUUCUUAAAAAUAGUUUGUAUUGCCAUCUUUUCUUUGGUAAGAAUAGUGUCAGCACACCAGACACCUGAGCUGAUGUUUUUUAUGCAACAUCUGCUCGAGAACGAGGUGUUCAGGUUAUUAUUGCUGGUGCUGGGGUGCAGCCCAUUUGCCAGGUAUGGUAGCUACCCUAACACCAUUACCCGUGAUUGGAGUUCCUGUACGCGCUUCAACAUUGGAUGGCCUUGACUCCCUUCUCUCCAUUGUGCAGGUAUGUAGAUAAAUUAUGUCAAAUUUUCUUAAGCAGGCCAUUUAUCUAAUAAUGACCGUGUUGGGUAUAGAGUCAAAACUGUUAAUGUUAUGGUACAUGUAGUCACAGGUUGGGUAAAUGCCAAACGGGUCGGGUUAGUGGUUCCAACUCGACCCGAACCCGUAAUUUUAGACGAACCCGAAAAUCGUAUCAUACAUAUGAACCCGAACACAACAUGUUCAA